AGGAUCAACGCUGGCGGCGUGCCUAACGCAUGUAAGUCGCACGGGCAGCUUUCGGGCUGCCAGUGGCGAACGGCUGAGGAACACGUACGAACCGGCCCGCUUGUGGGGAAUAACGCGCCGAAAGGCGUGCUAAUACCGCGUACGCUCGGUCCUUUUGGGGUCGAGGAAAGCCGCAAGGCGCAGGGCGGAGGGCGUGCGGCCCAUCAGGUCGUGGCGGGGUAAUGGCCCACAAGCCGGUGACGGGUAGCGUGGUCGUGUGAGGACGAUCAGCCAGACUGGGACUGCGACACGGCCCAGACACCUACGGGUGGCAGCAGCGAGGAAUCUACCACAAGUGGGCGCAAGCCCGAUGGAGCAACGCCGCGUGGAGGACGACGGCCGUUACGGU
rnacentral:rRNA from 1 species